rnacentral:snoRNA from 1 species
UUUAAAUAUUUCUUUCUAAGCAUGAUAAGGGUAGAGAGUGUUGUUCUGUGGCAGCUGCUUUCUGCUGUGGAAGAGUGUCUUGCUUUUCCUCCCAAGAGCAGGGGAAGGAAACACAGUCUGA